GCUGGCCGCCAGGUCUUCAGAAAUGCCCGGGAUCUCGUCUGAUCUCAGAAGCUAAGCGGGGUUGGGCCUGGUUAGUACUUGGAUGGGAGAAGUGCCCGAGGGCCUCUCCCCACCCAUGAGCGGUGUACCUAGCU
rnacentral:rRNA from 1 species